rnacentral:lncRNA from 1 species
UGGCCGCACAUGCGGCGGAAUUCACAAUGGUUUGUUACUUCCGUGGAAACGGAUCUCGAUGGGAUGCUGCUUGCAUCGUGCACGGCGACCAGCUACGAGGUUUACAUGGGCUCGUACACGAACGAAAUGAAAAUUGAACGUCGCUGCCCAGCCCUGUGGAUGAAUGGAUCACAUAGAGGGCAUGAUCACGUAAACCCAAGUGGAACGUUGCUAGACUCUACUCGAUCGACUUGCCCGGCUCCGGUUGAUCGCGCGCGCAACGCACGACGCAGGAAGCUAGUUGUUUU